rnacentral:rRNA from 1 species
UACGUAGGGUGCGAGCGUUAAUCGGAAUUACUGGGCGUAAAGCGUGCGCAGGCGGUUUUGUAAGCCAGGUGUGAAAUCCCCGGGCUUAACCUGGGAAGGGCAUUUGGGACUGCAAGGCUUGAGUGCGGUAGAGGAGACUGGAAUUCCUGGUGUAGCAGUGAAAUGCGUAGAUAUCAGGAGGAACACCGAUGGCGAAGGCAGGGCUCUGGGCUGACACUGACGCUCAUGCACGAAAGCGUGGGGAGCAAACAGG